AUAAGUGAAGUUUUGGUCAAAAAUAGCUGCGUAACCUCUUUAUGAUAUUUCAGAAUUCAUGUGCAAGUUACACAGUAUAUUUUGUUCCAAGUAAUUGCAAGUUCUCUUGUAUGGUUGAAUUACACAGUACUAGUUCAUCUAGUUGCAUUACAGUGUUGUAGAGCUAGAUUUUAAUUUAAACAAUUGUGCUUCUUCAAAAAAAUUUUAUCCCACAAAGUUCCUCAUCUGAGAUUAGUAUCUACUUAUUCAAUAUGCAUAUAAUAAACUAAAUGGUUUUGCAAUGAUUGCUUAUUGCAGGUUACAUCUAUUCUAUCACUUG
rnacentral:misc_RNA from 1 species